ACCGCAUUGAGAAUAAACGUGCAAGCUAAAACGUUGGUGCAGAUUCAGCAAUACUUCGGUAUUGUGCAUUUCUGUACCGAGGCGACCGGGGAGUGGAGUGUCUUGACGUGUCGGAUAGAGGGCUACUUCGGUAGAAUCCUGACCGGCGCUGAUAACACAAAGUUCCUUUGGUGGCACCAAUUUCGGGGUGGCAGUCGCGCUGCGAUCUUUUCCGGCGGGUCGGACUUGCUCCGGGCUUCGGAAGAGUUCGUACGUUCGGAGCCCUCGAUGGUGUGUCGGGUUGCCAGAGUUUGACCUUGUACGACCCGUCUUGAAACACGGACCAAGGAGUCUAAAUUGUGCGCGAGCCAUUGGAUAUUAUCUCCAUAGGCGAAACGAAUGUAAGAGGUUGGAUCCCUUUUUGGGCGCACCUCUAACCUGUGCUUUGUUCGCAUUGCGCUGAGUCUGAGUGCACAGAUUAGUACCCGAAAGAUGGUGAACUAUGCUUGAGCAGGACGAAGCCAGAGGAAACUCUGGUGGAAGUCCGAAGCGGUUCUGACGUGCAAAUCGAUCGUCAGACUUGAGUAUAGGGGCGAAAGACUAAUCGAACC
rnacentral:rRNA from 1 species